rnacentral:rRNA from 1 species
UGCCGCGUGGGUGAAGAAGGCCUUCGGGUUGUAAAGCCCUUUUGGGGGUCUCAAGCAGUCGGUUAAUACCCGAUUGUUCUGACGGUACCCAAAGAAUAAGCACCGGCUAACUUCGUGCCAGCAGCCGCGGUAAUACGAAGGGUGCAAGCGUUACUCGGAAUUACUGGGCGUAAAGCGUGCGUAGGUGGUUUGUUAAGUCUGAUGUGAAAGCCCUGGGCUCAACCUGGGAAUUGCAUUGGAUACUGGCAGGCUAGAGUGCGGUAGAGGGUAGUGGAAUUCCCGGUGUAGCAGUGAAAUGCGUAGAGAUCGGGAGGAACAUCCGUGGCGAAGGCGACUACCUGGACCAGCACUGACACUGAGGCACGAAAGCGUGGGGAGCAAACAGGAUUAGAUACCCUGGUAGUCCACGCCCUAAACGAUGCGAACUGGAUGUUGGGUUCAACUAGGAACUCAGUAUCGAAGCUAACGCGUUAAGUUCGCCGCCUGGGGAGUACGGUCGCAAGACUGAAACUCAAAGGAAUUGACGGGGGCCCGCACAAGCGGUGGAGUAUGUGGUUUAAUUCGAUGCAACGCGAAGAACCUUACCUGGCCUUGACAUGCACGGAACUUUCCAGA